rnacentral:lncRNA from 1 species
GUGCGUGCCGGGCGUCGUGGUUUCGGAUGGCUGGGAGAGAGAGCGCGAGCGGGGGGAAUAGAGUGUGUGUGUGUGUAGAAGCGUAGAACACACACACACACACACACACACACACUGCGUGCUGGGAGAGGAGCGCGAGCGCGGCGCUGGGCUGGAUUGUGCCCGUAUUACCGGACUACACGCGCGGAUUACGCGGCGGAACCGGAGCGCUGCUGCCGCCGCGGGGCGGGAAUAAGGUACUUUUCAUGAACACAGUGGAUGCUCCUCCCCCUGCCCUGAAGUUCACAAACAGAAGAGGCGGAGCUCCGCUCACCUGUGAUCAUCACAUUCCUGGGAUUUUAUACAGAUCUUUGCCUCCCAGAGUGACCUUCUGAACCUGCCGUUUCACUGUGACCGACCGAGGCCUCCAAAAAGACAUGCACAUAGGAGGCGGAGCAAGACGCCAAAGUGUAAAGCCCUGCCUCCUUCUCCAGCUGGUGCUCCGCCCCUUGCAGCUCGGGAUGCCCUAUCCCCUGCACCGCCUGCCCGUCUCCUGCGGUCCAGCCCUAAUA